rnacentral:lncRNA from 1 species
GGUUCAUCUUUUAUUCCCCCAUACCCUUUCAUUUAAAUCAAGAGGAUGAGAUGUGGUUAUUGCUGUGUUUUUAGGCAGAAUCAACGGUUUCUGGGUCUGAGAUGUUGCAUACACCCUCUCAGUCCCUGUAGCCUGAGAUGGAGUCACGUGAGAAUCCACAGCAAGUCCUAACCAGGGAUGGGUCUGGGUGAUUAAGGAAGGUUGGCUUCAGAACUGGGCCAGGGGCACUGCUUUGCUUUUGCUGUUUUGAUCAGCUCUCUGCCUGCAGGAGACAAGGAAAAUCAAUGGGAACAGAAAUUGCCUGUUUGCUCCACUCUGGUUGAAGAAACCAGUCUGACUGUCUCUGAGGCUAUGGAGCAGUCCAUCAAGAAUGAAAGCCCUCUGCCAGGCACGUUGGCUCACACCUGUAAUACCAGCACUUUGGGAGGCCGAGGCAGGUGGAUCACUUGAGGUCAGGAGUUCGACACCAGCAUGGCCAACAUGGUGAAACCCUGUCUCUACAGAAAAUAAUACUUUGCAAGGCCUCAGAAACUCUGCUAUCCACAGGCAGGUCUUACAGUCAUGGCUGGCUCCUCUCUCUGAGAACUGGGACUCCUGAACUUGGUGAAAUACCUCAGCCAUCGAUCAUGUUAAAUUAUCGGGGACACUCAUUAAAAAUGUGAGUCUGCUCCAGAUGGACUCUCUCUCUUUCUGCCCUGACCGUGAGGGAGACCGUGAGAGAGAGAGACCGUGAGAGAGAGAAACCGUGAGAGAGACCAUCAGAGAGAGAAAGAGAGACCGUGCCCUGACCUGCUGGACAGUGGAGAUGCUUGUGGGCUGUGAGCAACAGAUGCAAGGGCUGCCGGGAAUCCCAUCUUUCCAGCAUCAUCUGCCAAGGCACAUCAGUUCCUGGGUGUCUUGAUGGGUUCUGGCAGCAUUACUGUCAUUGAAGGAAAACAUUUUAGCCAUAUUAAAGGUGAACUCAGCAAUCCCCACACAGCCUGCCUGGAAGGGACGCGGGACAAGGGUAGGUUCUCCCUGUGAUGGACAGGAGGCAGGCGACCCUCCCACAGCCCUACCUGGCAAUGCAGAUGUGUCCCCAAAAGGCACUGGGGGCAGCUGGAGUGCUGUGCCUAGGCGGGCUCACCCGGGCAGCGGUUCGCUCUGAUUGCAGUGGUUUCCCACCAGCUCCUUGGAGAGCUGGCAGAUGACCCAGCCCCACAGCAGGAGCCGGGAAUGGCAGAACGAGAUACAACAAUUUGAUAUCCACUUGCCAGAUGAGCCGGGUGUCCUCAGUCGCCUGGCUCUGUGCCCAACCUCUUUUUACAUAAACACUUAUGAAUUGAGCCAGGAGGAAAAGCACUCUGAUUAUGAAUUGAGCAGAAGGAAACAAAGUUCUGCAGAUAAACACCAAUGAAACAAAAAACCACGAAUAAGAAAAAUGACAGAAAAGGAGAACCUUCCCAGAAGCCUCCUGCCAGUGAACGGUCACCAGAGCAAGAGCAUGGAGGCCCUGGGUUUUGAACUGUGAGAUAAGGAAGAUGAUGAAAACCUCCCUAGCAGCCAGGCAAGCACAAGAUUCCUGUGAAAUCCAGGUCUAAGUGUUUUGACAACAGAAGUAAUAUUAUGUCAUAGGUGAGAGCUGUGAGUUGCUGAACCCAAAGUGAGUUCAAAUCCGAGCUCUGCCUCCUGCUACCUGUGUGACUUUGAGAAGUUCCAGCACUGCUUUGUGCCUCAGUUUUGUCAUCUGUUAAAUGGGCGUAAUCACAGCUCCUGCCUCAGAGUUGUUGUAAAUUAAUACAUGUAAAGCACUGAAAUCAGCCUGGUA